UCCCGGUUAACCCGGGCAGUCUCGCCAGAGUUCCCAGCUUUACCUGUUGGCAACUGACGAUAAGGGUUGCGCUCGUUGCGGGACUUAACCCAACACCUCACGGCACGAGCUGACGACAGCCAUGCAGCACCUGUUCAAAGGUCCUUGCGGACUAGCCCAUCUCUGGACUAUCCCUUUGUAUGUCAAGCCUGGGUAAGGUUCUUCGCGUUGCAUCGAAUUAAACCACAUGCUCCACUGCUUGUGCGGGUCCCCGUCAAUUCUUUUGAGUUUCACCCUUGCGGGCGUACUCCCCAGGCGGUGUACUUACCGCGUUAGCUACGACACAUUCGGGGUUGAGUCCGAAUACAUCAAGUACACAUCGUUUACGGCAAGGACUAC
rnacentral:misc_RNA from 1 species